UACGUAGGGUGCAAGCGUUGUCCGGAAUUAUUGGGCGUAAAGAGCUCGUAGGCGGCUCGUCGCGUCGGCUGUGAAAACCUGGGGCUCAACCCCGGGCCUGCAGCCGAUACGGGCGAGCUAGAAUUCGGUAGGGGAGACUGGAAUUCCUGGUGUAGCGGUGAAAUGCGUAGAUAUCAGGAGGAACACCUGUGGCGAAAGCGGCGCACUGGACCACAACUGACGCUGAGGCGCGAAAGCUAGGGGAGCAAACAGG
rnacentral:rRNA from 1 species